GAUGAGAACGCAGCGAAAUGCGAUAAGUAAUGCGAAUUGCAGAAUUCCAGUGAGUCAUCGAAUCUUUGAACACACAUUGCGCCCUUUGGUAUUCCGAAGGGCAUGCCUGUUCGAGCGUCAUUAUCACCCCUCAAGCCCUCGGCUUGGUGUUGGACGGUUUGGUGGAGGCCCCCUCGGGGGCUCCUGCCCCUCCCAAAGACAAUGACGGCGGCCUCGUUGGACCCCCGGUACACUGAGUUCUUCACGGGACACGUAUCGGACACAUGGGUUUACGGGACACGGUCUGCCUCCCCUCAGGGAGAAUCUUUCUAAGGUUGACCUCGGAUCAGGUAGGGAUACCCGCUGAACUUAAGCAUAUCAAUAAGCGGAGGA
rnacentral:misc_RNA from 1 species